UACGGAGGGUGCAAGCGUUAAUCGGAAUUACUGGGCGUAAAGCGCACGCAGGUGGCUGAGCGAGUCGAUUGUGAAAGCCCUGGGCUUAACCUGGGAAUUGCAGUCGAGACUGUCUAGCUAGAGUAUGGGAGAGGGAAGUGGAAUUUCAGGUGUAGCGGUGAAAUGCGUAGAUAUCUGAAGGAACAUCAGUGGCGAAAGCGACUUCCUGGACCAAUACUGACGCUCAUGUGCGAAAGCGUGGGGAGCAAACAGG
rnacentral:rRNA from 1 species